UACGAAGGGUGCUAGCGUUGUUCGGAAUCACUGGGCGUAAAGCGCGCGUAGGCGGCGAUACAAGUCAGAGGUGAAAUCCCAGGGCUCAACCCUGGAAUUGCCUUUGAAACUGUAUUGCAGAGUGUUGGAGGGGAUAGCGGAAUUGCUAAUGUAGAGGUGAAAUUCGUAGAUAUUAGCAGGAACACCGGUGGCGAAGGCGGCUAUCUGGACAACAACUGACGCUGAGGCGCGAAAGCGCGGGGAUCAAACA
rnacentral:rRNA from 1 species